UACGUAGGGUGCGAGCGUUGCCCGGAUUUAUUGGGCGUAAAGGGCGCGUAGGCGGCCACGCACGUCCGUUGUGAAAUCGCCCGGCUCAACUGGGCGGGGUCGGCGGAUACGGCGUGGCUGGAGCAAGCUAGGGGGCAAUGGAAUUCCCGGUGUAGUGGUGGAAUGCGUAGAUAUCGGGAGGAACACCAGUGGCGAAGGCGGUUGCCUGGAGCUUUGCUGACGCUGAGGUGCGAAAGCGUGGGGAGCAAACAGG
rnacentral:rRNA from 1 species